AUUGUUCAGCUCGAUCGGUGGAACCGUAAAAUAUCUGUCGUCAUUAUUAGACCGCGUCUCCAAGUAUCCCUCCGCCUCUGCUGUGGAUAAGGUUAUAUACUAAAUCAUAUCCACUCACUCAAACUCCCCUUAGUGGGUUCGGUUUUUCUAUUUUAUCUCCUGAAAAUCUUUCUAUUUGUGCUCCAACGCGAUGCCAUCAACAAUAAUCUACAUCAAGGUGAUUUCAUUAUAAUAAUAAUAAAAAAAGGUCAAUGAACCCAUUAUUAGAAAAUUGAGACCGAUUUGUUAUUAAAUCGAGAACAAAUAUAGGUUCCCGAAACGAACACGCUUCCUCCUUUUUCUAUUUUAUUUAUGUAAAAAUCAUAGAGAGAGAGGGGGAGUGGCACUCAUUGAAUAUCUAUUUAAAAUAUCGCUGACGUCAUCGAUCGUCUUUCCCCUUCUUCCUCGGUUUUGUUUUUUGGAUCUCAAUCCUCACCGUCUUCCUCUGUCUCCGUGGGGAAUCUGAGAUGUUCACUUCUUCAUCUCCGGUUGUGUGUUCCCUCGCUCUCUUCCUCUCCUUCUGUCUCAUCUUCUUCCUUUUCUUCAUCUCCCCUCAAGAUCUCAUCAUUUCCCCCGUCGAUGAGCUCGACGACCUCCACCUCUUCCGUCGCGCCGCCUCCGCCGGGAAUCGCCGCCUCAUCUCUGUUUCUCGUCCUCCCCCUAAGAUCGCCUUUCUAUUCCUCACCAACUCCCACCUCACCUUUUUCCCUCUCUGGGAGAAGUUCUUCCGCGGCCAUCACCAUCUCUACAACGUCUAUGUCCACGCCGAUCCUUCCUCCUCAGUUUCCCCCACGCCGUAUGAUUCGAAGAUCAACGCGCAGUUUGUCCCGGCCAAGAAGACCGCGCGCGCCUCACCGUCGCUCAUCUCCGCCGCGCGGCGUCUGUUAGCGCGCGCCAUACUCGACGAUCCGAACAACCUUUACUUUGCGCUCGUCUCUCAGCACUGCGUCCCCCUCCAUUCCUUGCCUUACAUGCACCAUCACCUCUUCCGCCAGCGAAACCACCGGAGCUUCGUCGAGAUCCUCUCCGAUGAGCCCUUUCUUCGGGACCGAUACGACGCACGCGGCAAGGAUGUGAUGCUACCGGAGGUCAGAUACGAAGACUUCCGUGUAGGGUCGCAGUUUUUCGUGAUGACGAAACGGCAUGCUCUGCUCGUGAUCAAAGAGCGAAAACUGUGGAGGAAAUUCAGACUGCCAUGCCUGAACAAGAACUCUUGCUACCCAGAAGAGCACUACUUCCCGACAUUACUGUCGAUGGAGGAUCCCAAGGGUUGUAGCCACUACACCUUGACUCGUGUCAACUGGACUGACAGUGUCGGCGGGCACCCACACACUUACGCCGCCGCCGAGGUGUCGCCGCAGCUGAUUCAGACGUUGCGGAGAUCCAAUUCGAGUUUCGAUUUUUUCUUUGCGAGGAAGUUCUCGCCGGAUUCCUUGCAACCGCUGAUGGAGAUGGCAGAUUCAAUCAUUCUCCAGGAUUGAAUCCGAGCUCUUAAUUAGGAUCUCAAGGCAAUGGGGAUUGCUGGAUGAUGAUAGUUUAUGCUAUACAACUUGAAUGUUGCGUGGGAAAUGGGAUAUGGAGUAUUAGAAGGGUUAGGAAUCUGCGUUGGAACUCCAAGUGCUUGUAAAUACCGCACAACAACAAAAAGGGCUAAACAAGCCUUCUGCACUCCUUCCGACAUGAAAGAGAACGAAGGAGCCAUCCUCCCUCUCGGUUGUGUGACAGUGUUGUACAUGUUUUUUUUUAUUUGUGUGUGUGUAUGGAAUCCGAAACUGAGAUUCCCCUUCCAAUAGAUAACCGGAAUUUUUAUAACCUUUUUUACUUCAA